CGGGUGCUGGUCGAGGAGGAGGUCCGCCGCCAGUAUGCGGCGGGGGAGAGCGCCUACGCGCUCGCCCGCGAGUUCGGCGUCUCCGCCCACACGA
rnacentral:tRNA from 1 species